GCAGGCUGCAACCCGCCUGCAUGAAGUUGGAAUCGCUAGUAAUCGCGGAUCAGCAUGCCGCGGUGAAUACGUUCCCGGGCCUUGUACACACCGCCCGUCACACCAUGAGAGUCGGGAACACCCGAAGUCCGUAGCCUAACCGCGAAGGGGGGCGCGGCCGAAGGUGGGUUCGAUAAUUGGGGUGAAGUCGUAACAAGGUACC
rnacentral:rRNA from 1 species